AGCUUUGCGUAGUAGCAGUAUUGUAGGCAAUGAGGUUUAUCUGAGGCACGAUUAUUGCUAAUUGUAAACUUUUCUCAAGUUUCAAGUGUAUACCACCUCACCCAGCUUUUAGAUCAGUUUUCAAUUAAAGAGAAUGCUUAACU